rnacentral:rRNA from 1 species
UACGGAGGAGGCAAGCGUUAUCCGGAAUUAUUGGGCGUAAAGCGUCCGUAGGUGGCUCUCUCAAGUCUGCGGUCAAAGACCGGGGCUCAACCCUGGAAAGGCCGUGGAAACUGGUGAGCUAGAGUGCGGUAGGGGCAGAGGGAAUUCCCAGUGUAGCGGUGAAAUGCGUAGAUAUUGGGAGGAACACCAGUGGCGAAGGCGGCUACCUGGACCGGUUCUGACGCUGAUGCGCGAAAGCGUGGGUAGCAAACAGG